CCAUCUUUGAAAUUAUACCAGGUUCGGAAAAAUUGAUACGUCGGAAAGGCAAUAAAAAUGCUGUGAAAGUUGUCAGUUUUAUAAUGGGACCCUAUGGGAAUCGGAAUUAGUGUAAUAUAACCUUUAAAAAGCACAUUAACUGCAAUGUCAAGGUCACAUGGAUUCGUCUGCAAGCGAGACAAGUAGAAAAUGAAUUUUAAUGAAUGUUUUGAUGAUUUGGGUGCUAAAAUAGAUGAGAGAUGUCAAUAUUUUGGUCCAAAUGGAUGUUUUAGGUGGUUUUGGACUGUUCCGGAUGGGUGGGGGACCUGGUAUGGACAAGUAAGGGUAACAUUUCCAACAAAUCUUAAAUGUAAAUAUUAUUAUGUCCCUAGAUUGAAGUUUCAGGUGGAGAGCAAGAUGAAAAAUAUGCCAAAUUACAUGCAUGCAGCCCAUUUAUGCCAUUUUUCUCUUUGUUUGUAGGCCUGACUGUUUGUCCUUGAGCCGUAGAUGGUCAACAAUCCGCUAGCUGUCUUGCUCUGACUGGUGCACUGGACAUGAUUUCAAUAGUUAGCCAGACCAUGAUUGAGCUUAAGGAUUGUGCUGCGGAUGCAGCCUGUGCAGUUCCGGGAGAAAGUCACUGUCUUGGGCAAUGCGGUCUGGUAUCAGGUCUGGAUGAUCCUUGCCUGACUGCGGGUUUGUGUACACCUCAAUCCGACUCUGUGUCCUGAACAGAGGCCGCAGUGGUGCAGCGCUUGUGGACGAUCCAUCAACAUCCUGAAAGGUCAACACUACACCAAGCUGGGAAAAUUGAUCCUGAUAGUCAUCCCCAGGUAGUGGAAUGAAUGUACACUGAACUACAGAGGAAUCACACCCAAAUGACUUUCCUGCCACGACAUUAGUGUGGCCACUCGCGUAGGAAUUCCUUAGCAAACGUGCUCUUUUGCAUGGUGACUGUGGGCAUUUUUGCAAAACUUACGCUUUCAACACUGGAUUUUAAAGAGAAUACUUAAUAAAAUGUCGCUAACAGGACUUAUUUAUAUGAGAGAGACUAUCUGGAUGCGCAUUAAGUGUCACUUUGUGUCGUAAGCUGUUGAAGGAGCGCUUUGCGCCUUUUUAAGUGUUAAUUUUGGGUAGCCGGCUUGUAUCGGCUUGAAAGCUGCAAAUUAUGCCUCUCAUCAUAAUAGCAUUAAUUUUUGUAAUUGCAAUGUGUAUGUUUAGAUUGUAAGUGAAGCUUUUAAUAAUAAUUCUCUUAAAAAACAUGAUUUUAUAUGCUGUCAGUGAGUUUUUUAUUGAAAAAAAUGCUUAAAAUUAAAAAAAAGUCUCCUAUUUCAUCAAGAAAAGUACACUGAUUCACAAUCAAUACAUUUAUUUGGGCCUUUUGCUGAUAUAUUGGUGAAUUUCGCAUGCAAUGAUACCAGUUUUUGCCAUAAAAGUUACGCGUAACAAUAAUUGGAGACACAAAAUCAGCUGUCGUCACUUAGACUAAAAAUCAUGCAUUCCGACUUGACUGCGGCCAAUUUAGUCACCGCUUUAAAUGGCCAUUUUAAGGCCUUUACCCCCAUCCGAAUGCACUGAAAUUGCAUAUUCAUUGUGGAAAUAGUUGAAAUCUCAUGUGGAGAAAGUUUGAAAAAGAUGGGACAAAGUUGAGUUCCCUUAAAGGUUACAUUACACUAAAUCAUUGUGUAUCCCUCCGUGGUCCAUUCGAAAGUAGUGCCUAUUUCUAAAGAGUUCCUUUUCUCUUCUUGAAUAUAAGCCAUUUAACAAUGUGAGACAUGUCUUUUGUGGUUAUUUGUAAUAUCCUGUAUGUGUCUGGAGUACUUUGAUGCCUUGGAUUGGAAGCUAACUUAAAAGAUGAACUUUUGAGGGUGUGUUUUCUAUUGUGUGGGGCUUUUGUCGAAAUUAGGAUUCCAAAACGCGUUUUUCUACGGUGGGUUCAUUCGACAGCGAUUUACUUUCUUAGAAGUUGCGAGACGGUAUGUUUUUGAUUGCAAUUAUUGGAAGAUGACAGAUCCAUCUUUGAAAUUAUACCAGGUUCGGAAAAAUUGAUACGUCGGAAAGGCAAUAAAAAUGCUGUGAAAGUUGUCAGUUUUAUAAUGGGACCCUAUGGGAAUCGGAAUUAGUGUAAUAUAACCUAAAGACGCGUGAAAUAAAUAAUGGUGGUCGAAAAAUAAGCAAACUGUAAAAAUCGCAAAACAAUUUAAAGAUACUUGUCCUAUGAUGUACAUAUCGAUCAAUAGAGGUGUUAAUACUGAUUAUAAUUACUGAUAACAAACAUAGAAUUCUUAAGUGUGUUUUGUUUUUGAUGUAGGAAGCCGUGCUAAAUUUUAAUAAUCUUAAUGCUUUUUAAGUUUGUGUUGUUCAUUACAAUUGCUAAUUAAGUGUCAUAUAAAAAGGGUGAUUUGCAGAGUUCUUGAAGCAGUUGCAUUUAGAUAUUCAAAUUGGUAAUUAAGAUAACUAAGAGUAAAAAUGUCCGAAACUCCUUCUAAGCAAAGGCACGUGGAAUUGUAUCUCGAAGAAAAAAUCAUAUUGAUAUAAGAGUCCGAGAUGUUCCCUAAACCUACACUCAAGAUGCCGUUGGAGAAAUAUGGGGUAGGAAAGUCGACGAUCGGGGAUAUCGUGCGAAAAAAGGUUAUGUACAUGUCUCAUUGGGAAAACAACUUGUCACUCAACAAAAGUCGGUUCAAGAAUGAAAUGAAAUUUGAAAACAUCAACAAACUUGUAUGGGACUGGUUUUGUGUUGUAAGGGCCAGGUCAUUGCCGAUCUCUGGUCCGAUCAUACAGGAAAAGGCACUGAGCUUUGCCAAGGAACUAGUUAUUAGUGACUUCAAAGCGUCUAAUGGAUGGCUGUGUCGUUGGAAGACACGGUAUGACAUAAAGGCAUUCAAAGUGUGCAGAGAGAGAGCCAGUGUGGACUUACUUGAUGUGAACACUUUUAAGGACAGAAUUAGUGACUUUAUCGGAACGUAUUCGUAUGAAAACGUGUUCAAUUGUGAUAAGACUGGACUUUACUACCUUGCGUUACCAGACAAGACACUCUCUGCAAAGGGUUCAUCGACCAGUGGAAACAAAACAUCUAAAGGGCGUGUGACUGUUAUGCUAGCUUGCUCAGCCACAGGCGAAAAGUUGAUGACACUCGUGAUAGGGAAAGAAGGCAAGCCACGUUGCUUCAAAAAUGUAAAAGUGAGUGCGCUAGGUGUCCAGUACACGCACAACAAAAAGGCCUGGAUGAAGAGCAAGGUGUUCAGUGACUGGAUUACAAGCGUAAAUGCGGACAUGCGGCAUCAGGGUCGUCACAUACUGCUGAUGUUAGACAACGCUACCUCACAUGGAAAAGAAGAAGACCACCAGCUCCCUCAUGUCAAAGUAUAGUUUCUCCCUGCGAACACCACCAGCCACCUGCAUCCGCUCGAUCAAGGAAUCAUCCGUGCUUUCAAGGCACUCUACCGACGGCGACUACUAAAAUCGCUGAUCAGUAAGUUAGAAACUGUCAGCAAUGUAAAAGAACUGACGAAGGAAAUCUCGCUACUGGACGCCAUCAAGUGGAUUAUAGGUGCGUGGAAAGCAGUGAAGCCAGAGACAAUUGUUAAGUGCUUUGAGGGAGUCGGGUUAAAGGUUUCAAACCAGUGUGAUGGCGAUGAUGGUAACAAUGGGAGUGGGAAUCAUGGUGAUGAUGACGAUGAUGAUGAUGAUGACGACGUGUGACUGGCGGUCUUGGUACUUGAGCUGGCAUUGCAGAUUGCAGACUUCAAUGAAAUCGACAUCGUUAUUCCGACCGAGGACCAUGAUGAAAAUUGGGAAGAAAAUCUCGUGGAAAGCUACAAGACAAACACCAUUACUAAACUCGAGACCGACGAGGCUGAAUCUGAAGAGGAAUCCCCCCACCCCCUGGUAGUGACAUGACCUAUGAAGAAGCUCUUCAGCUCCUUAUCAAGCUUGCAAACUUCGCAAGUGAAAAGGACACUGAAAUGUAUGUUAGUGUAUUAAAAAUGAUUAACAAGAUGGAGAAGACUAUAGUGCGUGGUAGAUGUUUGAAAAAACAGGUCGUUCUUGACAUGUUUUUUAGUGUAAAAAGGAACUUAAGUCACCUAACAAAUGCAUACAUGUAUACAAUUGUUUGUUUUUUCA